AUAUCCUUCACCGCUCCCGGAUCCAGACCCAGAACCAUAACCUGACCCAAGUCCUGAUCCAGAUCCACCACCACCACCUCCUCCCUGCCCUCCACCUCCACUAAUUGACUGCAGUGUCCUAGCAGCGAAGGCGAUGUCUACAAUAAGCAAGACCAGGAAAGCAGUCCCUAACACUCUUGGGCUUCCCAUUUCCAGAUUAUACUCUCACGGCUCAACGUAUCUGUAUGUUUAUGCGUGUCACUCGCUAUAUGAGAAACCAGUAUGUUUUGUUGACUGGAAAUGCUUGAAGUGGCAACCCUAUAUAUAGGCAUUGUGAAGGUAACAAGACAAGGUUUUUGAAAAGUAUGGCAUGAAUUGUAAAGGUAACGAGACACGGUUUUUGAAAGCUUUCUUAAAUUCCCAGUACCUCUCACUUGGUAAUCUUACCUAUUAUAGAAAGGAACGCGUGUUUUGGGUUUCUGUUUCUGUGGAGGGUGGCGGUACUGUGGAGGACUCAAUUGAUGAAAACAAAAGUUAAGGGUUCGAAAUGGAAAAAAAAGAAAACACACUUCUCUAAUCCACCCUCCAUUGUGAGCACGUGAACAUGUUUAACACUGCUCAACACCCCCAAAAUGUUUUAGUAUAUUUGUUAUUUGAAGUCCACUUUGACGGCGCACUUGGAAUUUUCUUACACUAGCGCUUGUUUAGUGAUUUGUUCAUCUUAACAUUUGUCUCCUUGAGCAUAUAUGUUCAUCAACUACUACUAGGAUUUAUGUACACAGAUAUCUUUCUACUCUGCGUGUCUAUAUGCUAACAAUGGGCAAAACUUGCACACCAAACUGGGUUGUUCAGUCAAUAUUUCUUAUUGCUGUUACACUUUGAAUUAAUAGAUUUGAAUUUCUUUUUCCCACAAUAUCAUAGACACUUUGCAUCAUUGAAUAUAAAUAGAUCUGUACUUAGAAACCGUGUUCGAAUGUCUGACUUGUAAUUAAAAACCUUGGUGCCUGUUCUGGGGUGUUAAAUUAAGCACACCAUCCUUGCAUCACUGCGAGUGGAAUGUUAGGCCAUCUGCAUGGAUGAUAUACUGAACAGUCUUCUAUUCUUGCCAAAUUGAAUUUCAGUUCCAUACUCACAGAGCAUCACUUCCUUUUAUGCCAUGCUUUUUUAAGCCUGUGUAAGAGUGAUCUGCUAUUCUGAAUUACUGGUGACCAGCAUACUGUAUAUACAUUAGAAGUGGACAUGGAAUUUCAGAUUCCUUGGUGAAGAUAGCAGUCAGUAUAUUAGAACCACUAGAAGCAUCUAACAGUGGCUCAGGUAUUGAAGCCAACAAUUAAAAUAUACAUAAAGAAAAGAGAACAAGAGAGAAAAAUCUCACCUAUAAAGAAGGCAUGCAAAUUUCACAACGCAGCCCCUCAUCUCUAGAUCAGUCCAUUCGAGAAUGUCAAACUUGGCAUCAAGGCUCUCUUUUUAUGCCAGAAAACACCGCAGAAGCAGAGACCAACAAUACACAAACAUUGUAUAAAAUCUUAAUAUGCAAUAUAUAUGAAUGCAAUACGAGGAAAAAAGAAAGAAAGAUCCAAUAUCACAAAUAACAUAUAACAGUCUUUUGUUGUUGUAUUUAAAGAACGUUACCUUCCUGAGAAAAAAGAUACUGCAAGCAAAAGCAACACGUCUCUCUGCAAAAAUCUUGGAACUUAAAAUGGAGAAGAGUGAGAAAUCGUUAAAAGGAUGUGUUCCAACAGGAACACAGGCCCAGACAGUACUUCUAAUCCUCUUAGCAAAGUUUUCAUGUACUGUUUAAAAGAAUCAGAGAAGAAUGGUGUACUCCUCUGAAUCCAAUUCAGUACUGUCCACUUUGCCUUAUCAGCAACACAACACAAGGAAUGGUUUCAGUAGUAUUGAACAACCUAUGUUUCUCCCUUGAGUCCUUAAUGUACGUCUCCAAAAGCAAACUAUACAUCUCUGAAGGUGAGAAGCAAAAAUUUCCCAAAUCAAGAGAUUUGUAAUGCACCAUAAGAGAAAAAGUGUACCAACUUCACUCACAAAGCUCUACCAGGAUGGAUGUUCUGCAUUGCCAUUUGAAAUCCAUAUAGUGCCCGGGCCUGAGACAAUGAAAAUGCCUUUUGGUCCCUCUUCAAAACCUCCAAAAUGUAAUUUUAACUUUAUUUUCAUAAAUAAAAUAAAUUUGUAGUAUGAUAAUGAAAACCAGGUCGAACACAAGGCAAAUUUCAUUCAAUCUUCCUACAACAUACUAAAAUAAAAAAAGAACGGGGAUUUGAAUAAAAAAUUAAAGAAACAAAAUUCUGAAAAUAAAAAUACAAAAUUAAUAUGGCGUUGGCUUAGUUCAAAGGUCUAGACAUUCAUUCCCAUAAAUUUAUUGAUCAUCGAAGUAAAAUAAAUAUCCUUUCAAUUCAAGAAAAUGAAUUUGAUGCCCUUUUAAAGCUAAGGGGAAUCGAGGAGAUUAUGAGUAAAUUAAUUAGAUAAAGCUUUCUAAUCAAUUUCUUUCCAUCAAGCAAAUUUAAUAUUGAAAAGCAACUUUAAUUCACUCAGCAGUAGCCUUAGGAGAAAAAUCUGUAAAAUUUAUUCGAAGCAAUCGUUCAAAAGCUUGAGCAAUUUAACUUAGUGUACCCCUCCCUAAUAAAUUAAAGUGAUAGUUCUAGCAAUCAAGUUAACUCCUUUGUUUCUUCUUAUUCUAGUCCCCGACAACAAUUAAGAAUUGAAAGAAACUAGAAAGCACAUAUAUAUCAUCUCAAAACAAUUCAAUAAGCAUGAACAGAAAUCAAUAGCAUAAUUAUGAAAUAAAGAUAAAUAAGUACUUGAAUAUGAAAGAAUUACAAUGAGAAGAACGUUACUUCUCACAACUUAAUAAUGGGGAUGGUGUCUAUUCCUCUUGAACCGAAAGCCAAAGUUCAGUUCAUAGUUGCUGGAAAAUUAACAAAUAAAGAGAAAAGCACAUUGUAGAGAAGAAGAAGAGAGUAUUCUGACGUGAUUUGCUUCCUUUAUUCCCUCCCUCAGCUGCUCUCUUUCAUUAGGAUUCUUCUCCUGAUCAGGAGUCCUUAAUAUUACUUAUUCCUUCUUCUUUAUCUCGCCAUUAAGAUUGGUUAAAUCCCUCAGAAUUUGUGUUGAAAACUAACUCUGCUGCUGUAAUAAUUCUGCUGCAAUUUAGACUCUAAUGCCACUUAGAUGUUGUUUUCUAACAUGAUUUCUUGUAAUAUCCGGCCAUUCCAGCUGUAUUCUUUCAUUCAUGAAAUGUUAGAGACUUGAUUUGCACUUUUCUUGGGUCCUAUGGCUUAUCGUUUCUAUAUUAGACUCUCAAUCAUAGUGGGAUGCUCCUCACCGUUAGUUUCCUCAUCAAAUCAGGAGACCAAUCUUGUCCUUUAGCUUGUGCCUAAAUGUUUGCCUUCAAAGUUGUAUAUCUGGAUGUGUAGAUGAUUUUGAGCUUUAGAAUCGCAUGAUUUUAAUAUACAUAGCUCUAGAUAUGCUCAUUUGAAUCUGUAGUGUGGAAACAGAGAAUCCUGCUGCAAGUAGGAUAUCGACCUGAUUUUGCAAGUCUGAUUAGAGGUCCAAAUGAACUCGAAUUUCUGCCCAUGAUACCUUCCUAGAAAGCUUUAUAUGUGUACUUUAACUUUUAUACAUCAAAUGCUCACAUUUUAAAAUUAUAACGAUGAAAAACCUGCUACAAGAAGCAAGGUCUGAAACAUAAAAUGCAGAAAUUCUUAUUUUUUAGCAAUUAAUUCACAAAAUCUCUUAGGCACGCCAAACUCGUAAGAACAACUUCCAAUAAGGUCAAAUAUAUUAAAAAGCAUAGUGUAAAAGAAAUAAAAACAUAUGUAUAUUUAUCUUUAUAUUACAAAGACAAAUUGAAAAAACAAGAAGCUGAGUGCUCAAAAUAAGCAUCAUGUCUACGUCGAUACCACAAAGAAUCAGUUUAAAAUGAACAUGUAGCGGUCACAAACUGUCAGAAGCAGUAUUGGGUGCUUGAAUUCGACACUCGAUGGACACUUUGAAGCAAAUAUGAUACCUAAAAUGAGAUACAAAUACAGAUAGAGCAUGAAUACACCUGUAAAUGAACUUUGAGAAGGUAACAAAAGCUUCUUAGGAGCUUAGCCAAGAAAUUCACCUCCAGAAUUUUCACAUAUUUAUAAAAUCUCACAGCCAAAUCUUCCAAAAACAAUCCCUUCAGAUGCAGCGAAAAAUGCUAGCACAUGGCUUACAAAGAGUUUCUUCCAAAACAAUCUGCACUUGGUUUUGAUUGAAUAGUGUGUGAUUGCAUCACAACAAGAUGAAAAAUGGCUACAAAAAUUGGAAAGGUUGUAGCUGUCAUACAUAGAAUUGAGGACUCCCCUUCAUUUGUCGGGUUUGAGGGGAGAACCUACCCCUUUUUUUAUUAUUUACAAUGCACAUGAAAAUCCAUGAAUAAAGUUCAUAGUCGAAGUAAUACAUAUUUCCACUGAUUACCAAACUUGAAAUCAAUAAAUUUCGGUCACAAAUUUACAAUGUGAUGAUUGCUAGCUACUUUUAUAUCGAUUAACAUUAAGCUAUGAAAUCAUUUCAGGAUUGAAACAUUCUACGAAAAAAAGUUUACAAGAAUUCUGAUUCGUAAUUACUUGACCAUGGAGUAAACUAAACUUGAAAUCAAAAAUCAAAAUGAGAUAGACCCGUACGUGUUAUAAAUUGUCGUGUUAUAAAUUGAUUGGAGAACAGACAUGUAUUCUGGAUAAAUUAAAAGCAACUAGAUUAGCAAUAACAAAUUAGAGACUGAAGACAAGGACAAGGUGAGGUGAUUCCCGAAAAUAGGUGUUAGGUUCUUCUUAUGUGGAUCGUUAAAUUUGGAAUUCUUUUCCACCCAUAUAUUUUCUCAAGGCUUCAGGAAUCUCGACACCAUUGUCCGUCGGAUUGUUCUCAAGACAGACAUUUUCAAAAUUUCAAGCUCAUUUCUUUUAAUUUUAUUUGAAGUUCUUUGUUUGUGAUGAAAUCCUGUUUUUAUGGAAAUGAUAUAUUCACUUUUUUAUUAGGGUUUGCGGAGAGAUUAUCUAUAAAAUAUACUUUUAGAGUAAAAUGUGCUCUAAAAGUGACUUUAUUAAGAGAUUUAUAUGUAGACAUACAUGCACAGUUGCAGUUGCUCGCCAACAGACAAUAUGCACGCAUGUGUGAGCUCCUGCAAUUUUAUUUCAGAAUACAAAAGAAAAGGCAACCUCUGUGUUCAUGGCAAGCUUUUACCUUUCCCUCCUCCAUAUCCAGAGCCAUAACCAGACCCGCUUCCAUAACCUGAGCCUGAGCCUGAGCCAGAUCCUCCUCCUCCACCCCCACCCCCACCACCUCCUCCUCCUCCUCCUCCUCCUCCACCACUUCCUUUCCCACCCUUGCCACCGCCACUUCCGCUUCCACUUCCACUUCCAUAGCCUGACCCACUUCCUGAUCCAGAGCCUUGACCUCCACCACCACCACCACCACUGCCGCCGCCACCACCACCACCUUUGCCACCACCUAUCCCACUACCAGAACCAUAGCCUGAGCCGCUACCGGACCCAUAGCCAGAACCUGACCCGUUGCCUCCGCCACUGCCACCACCUCCACCUCCGCCACUGCCCCCGCCCCCGCCUCCUCCACGACCACCAGCACCAUAUCCUUCACCGCUCCCGGAUCCAGACCCAGAACCAUAACCUGACCCAAGUCCUGAUCCAGAUCCACCACCUCCUCCCUGCCCUCCACCUCCACCUCCACUAAUUGACUGCAGUGUCCUGGCAGCAAAGGUGAGGUCUACAAUAAGCAAGACCAGGAAAGCAGUCCCUAACACUCUUGGACUUGCCAUUUCCAGAUUAUUCUCUCACGUACGGCUCAAUGUAUAUGUUUAAUAUGCGUGUCACUCAGUGUAUGAGAAACAAGUAUGCUUUGUUGACUGGAAAUGCUUGAAGUGGUAACCCUAUAUAUAGGCAUUGUAAAGGUAACAAGACAAGAUUUUUGAAAAGUUUGGCGUUAAUUGUAAAGGUGACUAGACAUGGUUUUUGAAAAGUUUGUUAAAUUUCUAGUGCCUCUCAUUUGUUAAUCUUGACUUUUACAGGAGGGCGUCGGUGGUGGGGUGGCGGUACUGUGGAGGACCGUCUGUUUCUGUCUUUAUGCAAUAGAAUACAAGCUUUAUCCCCACCUUUUCUUUUUUGACUUAGAAGUGUCAUGUAAUAUUUGACUUCGGCAAUGGGA
rnacentral:lncRNA from 1 species